GACGAACGCUGGCGGCGUGCUUAACACAUGCAAGUCGAACGGAAAGGCCCUGCUUGCAGGGUACUCGAGUGGCGAACGGGUGAGUAACACGUGGGUGAUCUGCCCUGCACUUCGGGAUAAGCCUGGGAAACUGGGUCUAAUACCGGAUAGGAGCCAUUUUUAGUGUGAUGGUUGGAAAGUUUUUUGGGUGUAGGAUGAGCUCGCGGCCUAUCAGCUUGUUGGUGGGGUAAUGGCCUACCAAGGCGGCGACGGGUUGCCGGCCUGAGAGGGUGGACGGCCACAUUGGGACUGAGGUACGGCCCAGACUCCUACGGGGGGCAGCAGUGGGGAAUAUUGCACAAUGGGCGCAAGCCUGAUGCAGCGACGCCGCGUGGGGGAUGACGGCCUUCGGGUUGGAAACUCCUUUCGCUAGGGACGAAGCUUUUUGUGACGGUACCUAGAUAAGAAGCACCGGCUAACUACGUG
rnacentral:rRNA from 1 species